AGGAGGGAGGGAGAGGGAGAGAGAGAGAGAGAGAAAGAGAGGGAAAGAGAAAGAGAGGUUUUUCUUGUCAUCUAUCCUCCUUUUCUUCCUCCUUGUUUUCCUCCUUCUUUCUCCAUCUCCUCCCGCUCUUCUUCCGCCU